GAGGGCAUAGCUCAGCGGUAGAGCAUGUGCUUAGCAUGCACGAGGUCCUGGGUUCAAUCCCCAGCACCUCCA
rfam:Camelus ferus unplaced genomic scaffold scaffold977, whole genome shotgun sequence.